UGAAAAUUCAUUGUUGACUUGUACGUCCAGAGACAAUAGCGUCCAAAUAGGUGAACAAAUACGAGCAGCGUCUUGGAGGCCGGAGUGAGAAAAAAAAUAAGCCUGAAUUACUAUGGUGGAAGUGAUUUGCAGAUCAAAUAGGAUGGAUGGAUGUUAUGAGCGUCUCCUUUGGAACGGGGUGGAGGACGUGGAGGACGGUCAGCCUCUCCCCGCAUCUACCGCAGGUUGGAGGCUCGUUUCCCGUAUCUGUUGUCCACACAUUUCUAAGCACGGAUCCAGAACCAGGCCUCUCUUCCUUGUAAACAAAACACAAGAACUCUUAUGAGGAUUAAUUUUGAAUCCAUUUUUCUCUGCCCACCCUGACACCUUGUUCAAACCAUGCUGUACCUGUCUCUCGCACACUGCGAGGUUACAGGAUUUGAAACCAAUUUGAAUGUCGUCCACAUAGACGGAAUACAAUA